GACGAACGCUGGCGGCGUGCCUAAUACAUGCAAGUCGAGCGCAGGAAAUCGACGGAACCCUUCGGGGGGAAGUCGACGGAAUGAGCGGCGGACGGGUGAGUAACACGUAAAGAACCUGCCCUCAGGUCUGGGAUAACCACGAGAAAUCGGGGCUAAUACCGGAUGGGUCAUCGGACCGCAUGGUCCGAGGAUGAAAGGCGCUUCGGCGUCGCCUGGGGAUGGCUUUGCGGUGCAUUAGCUAGUUGGUGGGGUAAUGGCCCACCAAGGCGACGAUGCAUAGCCAGCCUGAGGGGGUGAUCGGCCACACUGGGACUGAGACACGGCCCAGACUCCUACGGGAGGCAGCAGUAGGGAAUCUUCCACAAUGGACGAAAGUCUGAUGGAGCAACGCCGCGUGAACGAUGAAGGCCUUCGGGUCGUAAAGUUCUGUUGUAAGGGAAGAACAAGUGCCGCAGGCAAUGGCGGCACCUUGACGGUACCUUGCGAGAAAGCCACGGCUAACUACGUGCCAGCAGCCGCAGUAA
rnacentral:rRNA from 1 species